rnacentral:rRNA from 1 species
UACGUAGGGUGCAAGCGUUGUCCGGAAUUAUUGGGCGUAAAGAGCUCGUAGGCGGUCUGUCGCGUCUGCUGUGAAAACUCGGGGCUUAACCCCGGGCCUGCAGUGGGUACGGGCAGACUAGAGUGCGGUAGGGGAGACUGGAAUUCCUGGUGUAGCGGUGAAAUGCGCAGAUAUCAGGAGGAACACCGGUGGCGAAGGCGGGUCUCUGGGCCGAUACUGACGCUGGAGGUGCGAAAGCGUGGGGAGCAAACAGG